UAGGAGUGAUGAUGCUGAGAAGGUUUCGCUAAGCAAGCUGAUGUCACGUGAUGUAACCCUUUCUCUUGGCUGUCUGACCAA